UAACCUACAGACAAGGAUCUUAAAAGGCAAG
rnacentral:piRNA from 1 species